rnacentral:lncRNA from 1 species
GUGAGCUGUGGAGUUGUGCCAUGCUAUGUGUACGUUGUGAGCGAGUAGGUAAACAACACCACGGGACUUCUGCUGUCACUUACGGGCACUUCCAAAGCUUCUGCUGAUUUCUUCGGCCUGCACCUUAAAUUUGUUGUGCACACCAGGAUCUAGCCUGUCUCUGCCUUGUUGACAACAGCCCCAAGUACUGAUUGCUGCUCAUUUGCUAUGUCCAGAAUCUGGCCUCACAAAUGCAAUGAGCCUU